CCUCCCUCCCGCCCCAUCGCUGCUCGCUCCAACGGAAACCGCUGGAGCCUUUACCUUCCUUACUCUUUGACCUUGGCCAGGGAAGUCAAAAUUGGCUUUUACUAGAAAGAAACAUAAUUCACAAGGCUGGUCCAAGGGAAAUUUUCAAGGGUUUAAAAACAGGGCCGCUUACUUCUCUGUAGCUACCUCUUCUGGGGCAAGAGUGGAGCCCGGACUAGGCAGAGGGUGUGGGGAGGCACAUUAAUGGGUCACUGGGCUCUGGAGGAUAUUUAAAACUUUUCUCCUUCUCUGUCCCCCAACUAGGGUAGCUGUCUACCAGCUAGCUUUUUUUCACUACUUGUACCCAGCCCACGCACGCUUUAAACUUGGUUUAUAGUUUAAUAGUUGGUUCUUCUAAAAUUGAACUAUGGUCAGAGUGAUUAAUAGUUCUUCUCUUGGCAUAUGCUCUUUCCUUAAGCAACAUGAACCUACCCCCACCCCAGGUUUGUAAAGUUCUGACCUGUUUUCUGACCGGUUGACAUCAUUCCUAUGCAAAUGGUAAAGUAACAUACCAACUAGGGCAAGGUAAAGAAGCAUAGCUUUAUGCUUCAGGAGUUUUGCACAUUUCAAAAAAAAUUAUGGAUUUUUGUUUGCUCAUAGUUAAAAGGAAAACCCAGAAAGGCACCUGAACAACUUGAGAAUGUGCCUUUCCCGUUCAAAGGAAAAGAAGUCUCAGUUUUCAAAUGGGAAUGAGCUUUAUGGACUAGAAGAGUGGGGGAGGAUGCCCAUGUGAAAUGACAGAGCAAAAAGUUCCACUUGCGUUUAGGAAUGUAGACUGGAUACCACAGACUGUUCCUGACAAGGGAAUCUGGAGUCCCAACACCCACUCUCCUGGAGAUAAGAGGGGAAACCAGGAGAACCCUGAAGAUCGAGAUAAAGGAUUCUAGGAGCCAGAGGGGUCAAGGACACCAGGAGAACAAGGCACACAGAAUCAACUAACCUGAGCUCAUAUGAGCUCACAGAGACUGAAGCGGCAGUCAUGGACCCUACAAGGAUCUGUGCUUGGUCCUUUUUGCAUACACACAAUGGUUGUUUAGCUUGUGGGAUUCCCAAAAGUGGGAAUCGGGGGAGGUAUCCCUGACUCUUUUGCCUGCCCUUGGAACAAUUUUCAUCCUACUGGAUUGCCUUCUCAAGCCUUGAUAUAAAGGUUUGUGUUUAGUCUUGUUGUAAUUUGUUAUACCAUAUUAGGUUGAUAUUCCUGGGAGACCUGUUAGUGUAUCUUGUGUUUUUGGUUUUGUUUGUUUGUUUGUUUGUUUGCUUUCUGAAGGGAAACUGAAAAUGUAGAUCUGGGGAAGUGUGUGUAUUGGAGGGGUGGGAGGAGUGGAGGUAUGGGAAAUUGCAGUCAGGGUAUAACAUAUGUAAAGAAUAACAAUAAAAACUAAAAGCAACACAACAGUAAAAGUAUUAUCUUUAAUUGAUACAUAAAAUGUAUACAUAAACAUGCUGGUGUGUGGUGCUAUUCAAUUUUCCUAUGUACUUUCUGCAACCUAUUAAUUUUUAGUUAGCAAAUUCUAUGUCUUCAACUGAUUUAUAGACUGUGUAGGGGAGAGUUUUAUCAUUUGUCUUUCUGUGCCUUACGUUUUCACAUAACAUAACAAAUUACAUUUCUCCCUAUGUUGUAAGGACUAGUGUUUGCUCUUUUAUGUGACUGGAUAUUCCUCAUUGUAUACAUGUAUUGCUACUGUUUUUGUUCAUCUAGUGAUGGGCACUUAUGUUCAUUGCAUUCUGUAUCAUGAACCAUGUUGCAGUGAACACAGAUGCGCAGAUAUCACAUACAGAUUUAAUCUCCUUCUGUUAGAUUCGCAGUGUUGGCACUGCUGAACCAGAAAAUAGGUCUACUUUUAAUAAUUGAGGAAUAACCAUACAUUCCACAAUGGCUGGUUUAAUUUGCACUCUAACCAACAAUGUUCCAACUGUUGCCUUUUUCUCUAUAUCAUUGCAAGAACUUACUGGUGUGUGUGUGUGUGUGUGUGUGUGUGUGUGUGUGUGUGUGUGUGUGUCCAUGAACAUGCAUGAAGAGGACAAGAGGACAUUGGGUGCCUUCUUUAUUAUCUCCACUUAUUUUUUGAGACAGGGUCUCUUGGUGAACCUGAAGUUCAACUUUCGGGUAAGGUUGGCCACUGAGUUUCGUGCAUCCUCCUGACUACAUUUGUCAAUUUGUGAGUGACAGGCAUACAAAAUCAUUCUUGGCAUUAUGUGGGUGCUUAGGAUCUAAAAAGAAGGUCCCUGAGCUUUCAUAGCAAGCACUCAUAUCCACUAGAUCAUAUUCCAGCCCCCCUUGUUUCUUUAAGACAGGAUCUCAUUCUGUAACUCAGGCUGACCUCAAGAUCGUGCGAUUCUCUUGUUUUGGUCUCUCUCAAAUUCUAGGAUUACAAAUAUGCUCAGAUUUUUAUCUAGGUUAAUUUUUUGUUCUAUUGAAUUUUAGAUCUCAUUAUAUAUUCUAAAUAUUAACCACUUGUGUGGGUCAAAUAUCUUGUGUCAUUCUGUACACUAUUCUCAUGAUUGUUUUAUUUCUAUACCUAAAGAUUUUGGCUGGUAUAAUGCUUACUUUUUCCGUGUGUGUGCGUGUGUGUGUGCAUGUGUGUGUGUGUGUGUGUGUGUGUGUGUGUGUGUGUGCGCGCGCAUGUGUGUUUAUGUGAGUCACACAGCAGUUAACUGUCCAUGGUAACGUGAUUAAUGUGAUUAGGACAAUGUUGAAGCAUUCUAGUUCUAUAAUCUGAUCAUGAGACUAUUCUUCAGGUAUUCAUGGUAAAAUAGAGGAA
rnacentral:sRNA from 1 species